rnacentral:misc_RNA from 1 species
AACGCACAUUGCGCCCUUUGGUAUUCCGAAGGGCAUGCCUGUUCGAGCGUCAUUAUCACCCCUCAAGCCCCCGGGCUUGGUGUUGGAGCGGCCUGGUCGAGUGGGAAACCAUUCCGACCCCUCUGAAAGAUAAUGACGGGGUCUCGUGGAACCCCCGGUACACUGAGCUUCUUGUUGAGCGCGUACUGGAUUAAAGGGCGCCCGGGCUCCGGUCUCCCCCCUUCUCCGCGAAGGGACCUCUAGGUUGACCUCGGAUCAGGUAGGAAUACGCGCUGAACUUAA